GGGGUAUAGCGCAGUUGGUAGCGCGCACGCAUGGGGUGCGUGAGGUCGCAGGUUC
rnacentral:tRNA from 1 species